AGAGCGAACGCUGGCGGCAGGCCUAACACAUGCAAGUCGAGCGCGUGUAGCAAUACACGAGCGGCAGACGGGAGAGUAACACGUGGGAACGCGCCCUUCGGUUCGGAAUAACUCAGGGAAACUUGAGCUAAUACCGGAUACGCCCUUACGGGGAAAGAUUUAUUGCCGAAGGAACGGCCCGCGUCCGAUUAGCUAGUUGGUGAGGUAACGGCUCACCAAGGCGACGAUCGGUAGCUGGUCUGAGAGGAUGACCAGCCUCACUGGGACUGAGACACGGCCCAGACUCCUACGGGAGGCAGCAGUGGGGAAUAUUGGACAAUGGGCGCAAGCCUGAUCCAGCCAUGCCGCGUGGAUGAUGAAGGCCUUAGGGUUGUAAAGUCCUUUUAGCAGGGAAGAUAAUGACGGUACCUGCAGAAAAAGCCCGGCUAACUUCGUGCCAGCAGCCGC
rnacentral:rRNA from 1 species